rnacentral:rRNA from 1 species
CCUACGGGAGGCUGCAGUCAAGAACAUUUGGCAAUGGGCGAAAGCCUGACCAUGCGACGCCGCGUGCUGGACGAAGUCCCUCGGGACGUAAACAGCUUUUAUGCGUGAAGAAGUAAUUGACAUUAGCGCAUGAAUAAGGGGCUCCUAACUCUGUGCCAGCAGGAGCGGUAAUACAGAGGCCCCAAGCAUUAUCCGGAAUCACUGGGCGUAAAGGGUGUGUAGGCGGCGAUAUUAGUCUCUCGUGAAAGGUUUUGGGCUUAACCCAGAAACCGCGGGGGAAACGGUAUUGCUUCGAGGACGCGAGAGGUAGAGGGAACUCAUGGUGUAGGGGUGAAAUCCGUUGAUAUCAUGGGGAACACCAAAUGCGAAGGCACUCUACUGGCGCGCUCCUGACGCUGAAACACGAAAGCGUGGGAAUCGAACGGGAUUAGAUACCCCAGUAGUC